rnacentral:sRNA from 1 species
AAGCCUAUUCUUGAUUCUCAAAGCUUUGAUAAUGAAGCCGAAUUCUUAUGAGUUUUUUUGUUUUGAAUCGUUUAACAAGGAAGCACUACUUUACUUUUCGGGAUGUGGUUGAGGUUCUAGUUUUAUAUUUAAUCAUACACAUGACAACA